AGCGAACGCUGGCGGCAGGCUUAACACAUGCCAGUCGAGCGGGCCCUUCGGGUUCAGCGGCGGACGGGUGCGUAACGCGUGGGAACGUGCCUUCUGGUCUGGAAUAACCCUGGGAAACUAGGGCUAAUACCGGAUACGCCCUUUUGGGGAAAGGCUUACUGCCGGAAGAUCGGCCCGCGUCUGAUUAGCUAGUUGGUGGGGUAACGGCCUACCAAGGCGACGAUCAGUAGCUGGUCUGAGAGGAUGAUCAGCCACACUGGGACUGAGACACGGCCCAGACUCCUACGGGAGGCAGCAGUGGGGAAUAUUGGACAAUGGGCGCAAGCCUGAUCCAGCCAUGCCGCGUGAGUGAUGAAGGCCUUAGGGUUGUAAAGCUCUUUUAUCCGGGACGAUAAUGACGGUACCGGAGGAAUAAGCCCCGGCUAACUUCGUG
rnacentral:rRNA from 1 species